AGGUGUGUUUAUUAGAAUGAAAACCAUAUGCUUCGGCAUGAUAGUGAGUAAUAGUAACCUAUCGUAUCGCAUGCCUAAUGUAGCGAUGAGUCUUUCAAGUUUCUGCCCUAUCAGCUUUCGAUGGUAGUAUAUGGGCCUACCAUGGCAGUAACGGGUAACGAAGAAUUUGGGUUCGAUUUCGGAGAGGGAGCCUGAGAGAUGGCUACCACAUCCAAGGAAGGCAGCAGGCGGGUAAAUUACCCAAUCCUGACACAGGGAGGUAGUGACAAUAAAUCACAAUGCGGGACUAUCAGUCUUGCAAUUGGAUUGAGAACAAUGUA
rnacentral:rRNA from 1 species